GUGAUUAAAUCGAGCGUGUCUUCAUUGACCGCUCACCCUUCUCACCAUCCACAUACACCUGUGCACUGUUUAGCCUGAGCCGGUUUUCCGGUCCAGGUUAUCAUCUCAUACAAACUCUAGUCUUAUGAAUGUAAACGUUUUUAAUAACAUAAUA
rnacentral:misc_RNA from 1 species